rnacentral:rRNA from 1 species
AUGAAGACACAUAUUCAGCAUUAUGUGAGGUGCUGCCCCACCUAUCAGCAAGCUAAACCUGAUCGAGCAGCUUACCCAGGAUUGCUAGAACCUCUUCCAAUUCCAAAAGAAUCAUGGGAAAUGAUCAGUAUGGACUUCAUCGACGGGCUGCCUCAAUCAGGAAGUGUCAACUGCAUUUUGGUCAUCGUGGAUAAGCUGACAAAAUUUGCUCAUUUCCUGCCUCUGGCACAUCCCUACACAGCUUCAAAAGUGGCUCUGCUGUAUAUGAACCAGGUCUACCGACUCCAUGGAUUUCCCGGUUCAAUCAUCUCUGAUCGCGACCCAGUUUUUACUAGCCACUUCUGGCAGGAACUAUUCAAGUAUGCAGGCACAGGGCUUCGCAUGAGCUCAGCCAACCACCCGCAGACGGACGGCCAAACCGAACGCGUCAACCAGUGUUUGGAAACCUUUCUCCGCUACUUCACACACGCCUGUCCUCGACGCUGGAGCUUUUGGAUCCCGCUAGCUCAAUUUUGGUACAAUUCAUCAUAUCAUUCAGCUAUUGGUAUGUCACCCUUCAGAGCUAUGUAUGGGCAUGAGCCACGUCAAUGGGGCAUUACUGCAACCAAUGCCUACUCAGUUCCAGCUUUGCGCUCGUGGCUCGAUGAACAUGCAGUGGUUCAGGAGUUACUGCAACAGCAUCUCCACCGUGCUCGGCAAUGCAUGAAACAGCAAGCAGAUAAGAAGAGGUCAGUCCGAACCUUCUCAGUGGGUGAUCAUGUAUACUUGAAGCUGUAG